UGUCCUUCAUUCAGCAACUUUGAAAAUUUUGACAUUGUAACUUGACUAGCAUUGAGGUGUCACUGGAUUGUUCAACAUUUUCAACCUUUGAACUUGCGUCGACUGUUGUGAUUUAAAAAGAUACUCACAUAUUGUCAGUAAAACUGUGCAGGAAAUGUUGAUUAGCGUCAAGCGAAACUUAAUAUCUUUUUUUUUAUUUUUCAACGUUAAUCAUUGACUGUUUUGGUGUUGAAAAAAAGGAUCUGUCUGGUUCAUUUGAGGGACACAAUCAACACGGAAUCAUAAUGGCCACAUUAUCUGUUUCAUUCAUUUCCCAAGCUUUACUUCAUAAUUCACCAAAUGCUCAAUAGAAGUUGCGAAAUCUGAUGUUACCUGUUCUCACCCUUUUCUGUCUCAUGGUACACUGUAAGCUUAAUCAGAAUUGAUAUUGAUACUUGAUGUUAGGUCAUUUAUGGCCUUGAGGACAACAUAAUUAUUGACAAACAGUAACAACAGCACGAGAAACAACAAGAAUGAUAAUAUUACCUUUCCAAAUGAGGUUAGAUUAAGUAAGGAAAGAUAAUUUGCCACUUACAGCUCAAUAUUAGUUCAACAAUAUCAUCAUCACCAUCAUCACCACCGUCAUCAUCUGAAAGAGAGUGAAAAAGAGAGAGAAAUAAUGAAAUGAAAAAGUCGUUAUCAAUGAUAUAAAAACAAAAUAGCGUAGGAUUUAAAGCUCUGUGAAGCUCUUAAAACUGCACCUAAAAAGUAUCUUUAUUAUAACAAAUGCCCAAAAGCCGAUUCUAUUUAA